AAAAAGACUCGCACAAACGCGGCGGAUUGUCUCUCUUUAAAAGCAGUGGGCCGCCAGCCCGGCAGCGUGCGAGCUCUCCCUUUUUAGCCAGAACACAUUUUCUCCCGCAGUUCCCCCUGCGCUGUGAAGCGUGGUUAACCAAACAAGGCAGGCGAAUGGCAGGGGAAAGUUUUAAUUAACGCUUUAUCGGCAUUUCACGAACAACUCGGCAGAGGCGGCGGGGACCCCGCAGCCCCCCGGCGAUGCGGCGGCACCACCGCCGGGCACCGCCUGCCCUUCGGCGCUGCCCUGGGAAAAUACCCAUCGCCAAAACCCUCUGGGAAGGCAGUGUCCAAAGGAAUCGGUGCUUUCCCGGCUCCCACUGCCUGCGGGGAAAGCCUCGCCGCAGGCGAAACUUUGUAAACACGUCGCGACGCGGCUCCGGGAGAGGAAGCAGGGAUGCGAAACCCCAGGAUCCCCAACGCCGGCAGGGAGAGCUGGCAGCGAGUUAGUGCUGGCAGCGCCUAGCCCUCCCCUGCUGCCAGCCUCCCCUUCCCCUUUAAAUAAACAUCCGUGUACAAAGCAGAAGGCACUCAAGAUUCCCCCCCCCCUUUCCCCUUAGAAAGGGAUUUGGAGCCCGCACCGGCGCUCAAUGCAAACGCGCGUCUGAGUCGCGGCACAGAAAUGAGUCGUGCAGCGAACACAGCCCCGCAGCCGCCGUCCGGAGACGCUACUUCGUGAAAAACAGCAAAAGUACCUUUUGAAUUCUUCCAUCAAUAUCCAAAUAAAUACACUUGGGCCGCUCCAGAAGCAUGAAGAAAGUGCAAAGCCCAUGCUCUCGCCCACCGCCAUCCGAGCCACCCCCGGAGAGAAGGAAUUUGUUAUUUUAAGGGAAUGUGAAAUAUCCUGGCAAAGGCAUCUCCUGGGAGAAGGCGCAGCCGAGAAGCAGGAGGGAGCAAAGCAUCCGACGGUGUGUUCUCGGAGCGGAUGCCGAAUGCCAUCUGCUGUGCUGCGCUGCAGAGCCCGGGGGAGCCGGAGCGGCGGCAGCGGCGGGUGAUGCUCGGUCACGGACGGGAGAGAGGUUUGGAGGCAGCGGUUCCUCCGCCCUCGCAGGGCGAGAGGUGCCCGAUGGGCUGCAAGCCUGGAAACAGCGCCAGCUCGCUGUGUUUUCUGAUGGAGGGGCUGCAAGAACAUUUCCCGGCCACCUCCCUCUGUGCUGCAGGCUGGGAGAGCCGGGCUUGGGACAGCGGGGUCGGUGCUGCCCACCCUGCCCACCCCUAAGCCUUGUUGUAGCCGGAGUGAGACACUCCCGACCCACAGGCUCAGGCACCAGGAGCAGCCUCGGCUGCCCCGGAACACGCAGGGCUUUGCCUCUGAGUGAAAGGGAUUCCUGAGGGCUGGGGGGCUGAGCGGGUCCCAGAGCCGUUUGGGAGGCAGAGCCAGGCUGGCCUUUCAGACUGAAGCCAGCAGAACUCCUAAAGCCCUCAGAGCCAGUGGCAAGGUGACACCUUUGGGAAGUGCAAGCCUCUGCUUCACAUUCUUCCUCUGACAGCUUGGAGCUGGCACUGGAAGUCUUCCCGGAGAGAUCCUUUGCCCCUGCUAGGCUGUUCCCUGGGCGGUGUUACAGUCUAUCCCAUAGAAUCACAGAAUAUUCUGAGUUGGAAGGGACAUACAUCGAUCAUUGAAGUCCCACUCCUGCCCCUGCACGUGACAGAAUCACGCCAUAAGCUGUCCUGGAGGUUACCCUCUAGGCUAUUUCUCAGCCUAUCCCACAAACUAUCCUGCAAACUGGAUAAUCCUGGAGGUUAAUCCCUUGGAUAAUUCCAUAGGCUAUCCCCAUGGCUAUUCUGACAUGGGCACAGCUUCUCCCACUGCAAGAGCCCUUCCACAUCAACCCCACUGCUUCUGUACAUCGGUCACGACUUCGGUGACCCAUCCCUUCAUCCCCUGCUCUGCCUUAAUCCUGUUUUACCUGAGUGCCUUGGUUGACCUUGUCAAGCAGCAGAUACCUGAGGGAGAUGGCCAGGAUGACAAAAAUGCAGCCAUUUAGAAAGAGGCGUCCAGAGCACUCACACUGGGAGAUGCACAUGGGGCAUUUGGUCUCGUAGAGGAGGGGGCUGAGAUCUCCCCCUGUGAUGACCCACUCCUGGAGUGGUCAGACAAGGUCACUGGUGCAUUGAAGGACUUGACCACACAUCACUGAGACAUCUAAUGAUCAGUCCCACACUGCUGAGCAUCUACCUUUUGAUUUCUAUUUUAAAAAGGAACCAGCUUCUCCAGCCAGCAAAAAAGACAGGCUCUGAAAUCCAGGUGAUGAUCCCAGUCCUGCCUUCCCAUCCUUCUUGUCCUAUCUACUCUCCCUGUGUAUUUAAAAUAGUGUUCCUUAAGGUCCAGCACACACACAUCUCCCCUUAAUUACAUUAAUAUUUGUUGGAAAAAUUGCUUUGCUGUAAAAUUGCUGAGUAUUGCGCUUUUCAAGAACUUUUCAUGUAGAAGGGAAUCUACCAAAGCUGAGCUCCCAGAAAUUACAACAAAAGCCUGAUGCAAUUGAAGGCACAGUUCAAGUCCAUGCCUGAAAGACAGUAUUCAUCAAAGAGGAUGUGCAGUUCCCUGAGAUAACUGCCUGCCUUUAGUUGGUUUAACCUUCCCAAAUCUCCUUAUUUCCUUAUACACUGUGCAGCGUGGGGCAGAAACGAUUGGGAAGCAUUGUUCUAUCUUAUCAAAUCCUUCAACAGUUCAUCAGCUGGGCCAAAUCCAGGCAACCCAGUGCCAGAAAACGAUUAUCCAGCAUUUGCCCUACAGGAGUGUUUUGCCCAGCCCAGGGCAGCACCAGGCUGUUUUCCCCCCGACCACAGGCGGCACAUCAAGGGUUGCACAGCUCUGCUUUGCCUUCCCUGCUAAGUUGUUUACUGAGACCAACACACACCUCUCUGUACACUCAGACCUUGAAAGUGGGUGUGCCUUUUGGAGAGCUGUGGGGCUUGAGCCUUUGGCCCAGCGACCUGGCAGUGCCCCAGCCAGAUGUCACUCCCAAGGACUGAAAAAGGCACCUCUGUCUCCCGGUCCUGGCGCCCGCUCCAUGUCUGUGGUUCAGAGGCAGCUUUAUUAGGGUUUCCAAGGUGUAACCAGAGGAUAUUCAGACUACACAUGGUUUGCCCUCAGACUCGCUGCUGUCGAGGCACAAAGCACCCACGCUGGCUUUGUGUGGGUUGAGAUCUCCCCGUGCUGCAAACCCUGCUCAAAGGGAGAGGGAAAAGCUUUAGGGAUCAAAAGGGCUGGCCAGGCCACUCUCCCUGUGGGUCUGGGAUGGGAUGGCACCAUUCCUGUCCCCUCCCAUCCCUGCCUGCAGCUGCAACGAUGCAGAAGAGACAGAGGCAAUGAGCCAUGGAGGACGAGGUGGGGCAGCACCACAGACUGCCAGCCUUCGUAGUCCCUCCAAGGAUCUGCCCUCAUCAGACAUGUCUCAAGGUAGCAACAUCCUUAUGCAAUAGCCUCUCCAAAUCUUUCAUUUCCCCAAAGCAUUCCUAUCAAUCCCACUCAUCUAUUUACAGCCAUGGCAUGGGGUUUCCCAGACUUGCUUCUCCAGUCCUGAAGCCGCUGUGCUCACAAGGUGGCUCCCCCAGCCUCUCUAAAACCUGUUUUUCCUGCAGCACUCAAGAAAUUAGUUUCCCCUUGCAGCCUGCUGUGAGCACAUCCAAACCUGGGAAGUACCGGGCAGUGAUCUUCAAAGGGAUUGAGAUAUGGAAAAAAAAGCAAGGUAAUUUAAACCUUUCAGUGAAAGAUCUCCUGUUCAGUUUUUCUCAGAGAAAUGCACUUCCAUAUGUCAUUGCUGAGCCCUCUUCUCUCAGUCCCUGCUGUGCUCUGACUCUCCUUGCCCUCAGGGAUGAAGUGAGGCAUCCAGGUGCCCUUCCUGCCCCUGCCCUGUGCCCUGGGAGGCUGCAGGGCUGGACACAGCACCAAACAGCUCACCCCACCUGGAAGGGCAGGGAGAGAAAACCCUGGGAUUGGUGCAAAGCACAGAAAAUACCUGAGUGCCCUUGGAGGGGGCUGAUUAGGGUCUAAGGUUAUGUUUGGAAAUGCCUCCUGAGCCACUGUGACUGGGAAGGUGCAGCCUGGUCCUAGGAGGUGAUGGGCAGCUGGAGUGUGACUCAGGCCAGGUAUUUUAAGGACAGUGAUAUAUUUUCAACAAAGACUGCCUAGAAUUAAAAACAGAGAAUUUUUUAAAUUAAUGUUUUUCCUUACCUACUCCCUAUCUCAGCCUUCCAGGUGCUUCCUCUGCCCACUAAUUCCUUCUCUUGCACGUCCCCUCCUUCAGCUGCAGGUUUGUCCAUCUCUACGUUCCCACAGGGCCUUGUCCUACUGCUUUACCUCCCUCAAACCUGCCAAAACACUGGAUUGCCCCUGUAGCUGGGAAGGUUUCCCCUUCACUCCCACAGCUCCUCUUCCUAUUUUGCUCAGUCUUAUCUCCCUCCUUUUACCAUCUUUGGUGUUUCGCCAUUUUUUCUCCUGGAUGUUUCUCCCCCACAAACCUGAAGUCCUGCAGACUUUAUGCAGGAAUUAACUGCCCUUGGAGUUUUCUCUGUUAACAGUUAAAGGUUUGCUGUGGCAGUGUGAGCUCCUCCAUGCAGAGCAUGGCUGACCUUUCCAGCCCAGCUCUCACUCCUUUCCAUAAGCCGACGGAAAGAAUAUUCCUUGCUGCAUAUGGAAAUUUUAGCUCACUUCUUUGCACAAUUUUUUUUGUACACUGCCAGGUUUCCACAGGACCAGUCCUGGAAACGAUCAUAUUGAAUGCUAAUUAGAGAACGAGUGAUUAUUAAUCUUGAGACCUUUGUAUGAUUUGUCCAUAUGGACCUUUAUAUCAUCUGCCCCUGGAAACCCGUGUUUGGCCCUUCACCACGCAGCACCUCAGCUCUCCACAUCACUCUUGGCUCCAGCCCCAUUUCUGGGGCUUGUUGCUCUCCCCAGCCCCAUUCCCAGCUCACACAGUACAGCUGCAAUCACCUGGUUUCCAUGGCAACCCCCCGGGAACGUGGGUCAGAAGAGCUGUGACAUCUUCUGACGCGGCUGGUCUGGGCACCAGGGUGCAGGUCCGGAGCUCUGUGGGCGGGAGACGUCGUGUUACUCACCCAGGAGCCAGCUUUGCUCUCUAAUCCGGCAGCGUUGGCCACCUCGGUGACAGUGCUGCCUUUAUUCUCUUUACAAUUGUUGUUAAAAUUCGGGUACCAGUAGUUCUCUCAUGUCUCAAUGCUCAGACGUACCAGUUAAUAGGCUCAGAUCUUGGAAAAGUGCAGCAAACCCUGUUGACUCACAAAAACCUGUCCACGUGUGCAGUGCUGGCUUGGAGAAGAAGAGCAGACUCAAGCCACGGGCAACCCUUUAUUUCACUUUAGAAAAGCACGUGUCCAAUACAGCAUCUGGCAUUUCUUGACUUUUCUCUGUUGAGGAAAAAAACCCUUCUUUCUCUUGCUGCGUGUUAGAAACUUUAUUAAUAAACCUUUUUUCUGAAGCACUUACAAUACCUGGCAGGUCCCAGGUUGAUUUCCUGAGGGUCUCCCAGCGGUGCAAGCCCAUUGCCUUUCCCUGCUGGGUGCAGAAGCAGCUCAGCCUCCACAAGUGCUUCCUUUCACUGCAGCACCAGGUCCUUGGCACAGCCUGUGUCCUGAUUUCACUAAGAGCACUUUGCAUCACCUCCCAGGUGACCCCUUUCCUCCCCCCAGGAGCCCACAGGACCUCAGGAAUCUCCAUGCCCCAUGCCAUGGUGUGAUGUGCUGCUCGCUGUCUACGGAGAGCUUUGGCUGGUCUCUCUUCCACUGCCACCUCUCUCCUUGAUCUUCAGCCUCCCUUCCCUCUCUGCUUUCCAUUUUCUACCUCUUCCCUUUGUUUCUCACUCCACUCCCAUCUUCUCAAUCCAGCCUCUGUUCCUAGGCCUUCAUUUAAAGUUUGGAGAGAGCCAAGUGUACCUACACACACACACACACACACACACACACACACACACACACAUCCCCUAACUAGCUGCUAAUGAGCCUCCUGCAUCCCUGGAGUGGAGCUUCUGGGAAAGCCCAGCUAGGAAAGCUGUGUUUUCAUAAGGUUAUGGAAGAAAUUAGGAGACCCAACUGGAAUUUUCAAGAGCUGAUGGGGGAAAAAAAAAUAAAUGAAAUUAAGUGUGCCUGGAGUCACCCACUAGAUCAUGCAGAGGGAUGAUAGCCAAGAAGUGGAAAAAUCAGUUCCCCCUACGGGGCAAGGUUGGCUCUUGCUCUUGGCAGGAAAGCCUGAGCGGGGGCUGCAGCCCAUGAUCCCAAAUGGGAGGGAAGGGAUACGUGGCUCGACUUGAAGAAAACUGCCUGGCAUUUUAUGUGGUGCAGGAAAGUGAAGUUCCUUCAGAUGCCUGUUUUGGGAGACUUCCAUCUGAGCAGCUCAGGGCUGUGCAGUGACUCACUGUAAAUCAGCUAUUCCAUCUCUCUGACAAGCAGACCUCAGACACCCUGAAGUCUUGGCAAACUGAAGACUAACCCGAAGAUUAAGGGUUGCUAAUACCGGUUCCAGCCUGAUGUAAUCUGUUUCACAGUCCACAGAUGUGGGGCCUGGGGGACAGGGGUGUCCCUCUCGUGCCUUGGCCAAAGACCUGACACGGGCAGAGCAGGAGGGAAUCAUUGCUGCAUCCCUGACUCAUCCCCGGGUGCCUCCUUGUCUGCACGCUGACGAUCACCCCCUCCCACAACAGGAACCACCAUCACAUCAGCAGGAACGUCUGUGAAACGUUUCACUACUCGGGGUUGGGAAACUGCACCUCAACUGCAUCACACCCACAUCCCAUAAACACCAGAGCAGAGCCACGUGAAUUCCUGGGGGGGGUGGGUUCAGCAGAGAGGAACUUUGAACGGUUCUUUGCAGUACAUUAAAAAUUGGACCUUUUAUGUUAACAUUAUUUUUAAAAUACCAGUCUUCAUAAAUAGCUUGAUAAUUGCUCAAAUACGUAACAUUUUUACAUAAUGUAUGUAUUUUCUUGUAUUUGUUCUGUUUGCACAGUGGUGUUUCCAUUUACAGGCAGAAGCACAUUUUCUCAAUAAAAGUUGCUUUUGGGGGGGAGGCCAAAAAAACCCCCACAGA